GACGAACGCUGGCGGCGUGCUUAACACAUGCAAGUCGAACGGAAAGGCCUCUUUCGGGGGGUACUCGAGUGGCGAACGGGUGAGUAACACGUGAGUAACCUGCCCUUGACUUUAGGAUAACUUCAGGAAACUGGGGCUAAUACCGGAUAGGAGCUCCUGCUGCAUGGUGGGGGUUGGAAAGUUUCGGCGGUUGGGGAUGGACUCGCGGCUUAUCAGCUUGUUGGUGGGGUAGUGGCUUACCAAGGCUUUGACGGGUAGCCGGCCUGAGAGGGUGACCGGCCACAUUGGGACUGAGAUACGGCCCAGACUCCUACGGGAGGCAGCAGUGGGGAAUAUUGCACAAUGGGUGGAAGCCUGAUGCAGCAACGCCGUGUGCGGGAUGACGGCCUUCGGGUUGUAAACCGCUUUCGCUCAUGACGAAGCUUUGUGUGACGGUAGUGGGUAAAGAAGCACCGGCUAACUACGUG
rnacentral:rRNA from 1 species